GACGAACGCUGGCGGCAUGCCUAAUACAUGCAAGUCGAGCGAACAGAUGAAGUGCUUGCACUUCUGACGUUAGCGGCGAACGGGUGAGUAACACGUAAGGAAUCUACCUAUAAGCGGGGGAUAACAUUCGGAAACGGGUGCUAAUACCGCAUAAUAUCUUCUUCCGCAUGGAAGAAGAUUGAAAGACGGCUCUGCUGUCACUUAUAGAUGACCUUGCGGUGCAUUAGUUAGUUGGUGGGGGAAUGGCCUACCAAGACGAUGAUGCAUAGCCGACGGGAGAGGGUGAUCGGACACAUUGGGACUGAGACACGGCCCAAACUCGUACGGGAGGCAGGAGUAGGGAAUCUUCCGCAAUGGGCGAAAGCCUGACGGAGAAAUGCCGCGUGAGUGAAGAAGGCCUUCGGGUCGUAAAACUCUGUUAUAAGAGAAGAACAAAUUGUAGAGUAACUGCUACAGUCUUGACGGUAUCUUAUCAGAAAGCCACGGCUAACUACGUGCCAGCCGCCGCCGUAA
rnacentral:rRNA from 1 species